rnacentral:tRNA from 1 species
CUUAAUGUGGCAGAUUAGUGCAAUGAAUUUAAGCUUCAUAUAUAAAGAUUAUUCUUUCAUUAAGA